GUGGGGAAUUUUGGACAAUGGGGGCAACCCUGAUCCAGCCAUUCCGCGUGAGUGAAGAAGGCCUUCGGGUUGUAAAGCUCUUUCGGCAGGAACGAAACGGUGAGCUCUAACAUAGCUCGCUAAUGACGGUACCUGAAGAAGAAGCACCGGCUAACUACGUGCCAGCAGCCGUGGUAAUACGUAGGGUGCGAGCGUUAAUCGGAAUUACUGGGCGUAAAGCGUGCGCAGGCGGUUGUGUAAGACAGGUGUGAAAUCCCCGGGCUUAACCUGGGAACUGCGCUUGUGACUGCACGGCUAGAGUAUGGCAGAGGGGGGUGGAAUUCCACGUGUAGCAGUGAAAUGCGUAGAGAUGUGGAGGAACACCGUUGGCGAAGGCAGCCCCCUGGGCCAAUACUGACGCUCAUGCACGAAAGCGUGGGGAGCAAACAGGAUUAGAAACCCCUGUAGUCC
rnacentral:rRNA from 1 species